rnacentral:ncRNA from 1 species
UAGGAACCGUGAGAUUAAGCCAUCGCGGCAGGUGCUCACGUUAAGCCCACUGACUUUCAUGUCCCUAUCUACUAUCUAGCGAAACCACAGCCAAGGGAACGGGCUUGGAAUAAUUAGCGGGGAAAGAAGACCCUUUUGAGCUUGACUCUAAUCUGGCAGUGUAAGGAGACAUAAGAGGUGUAGAAUAAGUGGGAGAUAUUAGACUUCGGUUUGGUAUCGACAAUGAAAUACCACUACUCUUAUUGUUUCCUUACUUACUUGAUUAAAUGGAACGUGUAUCAUUUCCUAGCCAUUAUACGGAUAUAAUUAUUAUGUCUUAUGGUAUUGGGUUUUGAUGCAAGCUUCUUGAUCAAAGUAUCACGAGUUUGUUAUAUAAUCGCAAACAAAUUCUUUAAUGAGAGAAUGCAUUUAUGUAUUAUUGAUUUAAAAAUUUGGUAUAACUCCAAUUACUCAGGUAUGAUCCAAUUCAAGGACAUUGCCAGGUAGGGAGUUUGACUGGGGCGGUACAUCUCUCAAAUAAUAACGGAGGUGUCCCAAGGCCAGCUCAGUGCGGACAGAAACCACACAUAGAGCAAAAGGGCAAAUGCUGACUUGAUCUCGGUGUUCAGUACACACAGGGACAGCAAAAGCUCGGCCUAUCGAUCCUUUUGGUUUAAAGAGUUUUUAACAAGAGGUGUCAGAAAAGUUACCAUAGGGGAUACUGGGCUGUGGCGGCCAAGCGUUCAUAGCGACAUUGUGGAGCAAAAUCACCAAGCGUUGGAUUGUUCACCCAUGCC